rnacentral:ncRNA from 1 species
CAUCGACAGGGCAAACCCGGCCAAAGCCGGGGACGCAAAGCCACGGGUCCUCGUCUCCUCCGCGACGCUACACUCACACGCCACGAAGGACUCCAAGAUCGCCGAGCUGCCGAUA